ACCCUGACUUAGAAGUCUCACCCAUAAUGGGGAGAUUAACCCUCAAACAAAGAGCCAGGCGGUAGGUGCGCCCACUGCGGAGACAGAGUGUGGUCUUGCACCCUCAAGGGAAACUCUUUGGGAAUCUGAGCACCCUCAGCUGUGUCUGACACCAUUCUCCCCCCCUCCACGGGAGAGCUCCGAGGGCUCCGACCACCCGAGCCACAGGGAGACCAACCAGCGGUACUGAGAACAGCGGAUCGCAGCAGAAACCAGCAAAGUGCACACAUGACACUGGAUUUGCAAACGAAACUUACGGAAAUACAAGUUCAGACACGUUUUUGUCAUCUUAACCACGGAAGAUGAGUAUGAACCUCUGUGACGCGCUUGAUGAUUGUCCUGCCUCUGGGGGCAAUCAGUCCUCGGCUCAAAACUCCACCUGGCCCAGUGCUCCAUCUGGAGGCGGGGGUCCAGGGGGAUGGCCUGCACCGCAGCCUGGAGGCGGGGGUCCAGGGGGAUGGCC